rnacentral:tRNA from 1 species
AUUAAAAAUAAGCUAAAUUUAAGCUUUUGGGCUCAUACCUCAAU